UUGUUCACUGUUAUACCCACUCCACUUCCUAGGAAAUGCCUAGAAAUAGAAGGAACUCAGUAAAUACUUCCUGGAACAGAAACCCCAAUCGUUCAUGAAUUCUCAGAGCAUCCCUUUCUGUGAUAAUAGAGUGGAGAAAAACUUCCUGUGGGUCUGCAAUCCUAUCCCCGCACAGAAAGGCUGUCACCAUUUGACCAAAAGGGAGGACCAGGACAGAAGGACCAUAAGUCAAUGGUUUUCUUUAGUGUGCUGCCAGCAGAAUCAGAAUCACCUGGAAGCUGGGGACAUGGAUGGACUUGGAAGCCAUUAUCCUCAGGAAACUCAUGCAAGAACAGAAAACCAACCACUGCAUGUUCUCACUUAUAAGUGGGAGCUGAAUGAUGAGAACAUAUGGAUGCAUCAGGGGGAACAAGACACACUGGGGCCUGUUGGGGCAUGGGAGGAGGAAGAGCAUCAGGAAUAAUAGCUAAUGGAUUCUGCGCUUAAAACCUAGGUGAUGGGUUGAUCUAUGCAGCAAACCACCAGGGCACACAUUCACCUAUGUAACAAACCUGUACAGCCUGCACAGGUACCCCUGAACUUAAAAUUAAAGUUGAAGUAAAAAU